UGAACGCUAGCGGGAUGCUUUACACAUGCAAGUCGAACGGCAGCGCGAGAGAGCUUGCUCUCUUGGCGGCGAGUGGCGGACGGGUGAGUAAUAUAUCGGAAUGUGCCCAGUAGCGGGGGAUAACUACUCGAAAGAGUGGCUAAUACCGCAUACGCCCUACGGGGGAAAGGGGGGGAUCGCAAGACCUCUCACUAUUGGAGCGGCCGAUAUCGGAUUAGCUAGUUGGUGGGGUAAAGGCUCACCAAGGCAACGAUCCGUAGCUGGUUUGAGAGGACGACCAGCCACACUGGGACUGAGACACGGCCCAGACUCCUACGGGAGGCAGCAGUGGGGAAUUUUGGACAAUGGGGGAAACCCUGAUCCAGCCAUCCCGCGUGUAUGAUGAAGGCCUUCGGGUUGUAAAGUACUUUUGGCAGAGAAGAAAAGGUAUCUCCUAAUACGAGAUACUGCUGACGGUAUCUGCAGAAUAAGCACCGGCUAACUACGUGCCAGCAGCCGCGGUAAUACGUAGGGUGCAAGCGUUAAUCGGAAUUACUGGGCGUAAAGCGUGUGUAGGCGGUUCGGAAAGAAAGAUGUGAAAUCCCAGGGCUCAACCUUGGAACUGCAUUUUUAACUGCCGAGCUAGAGUAUGUCAGAGGGGGGUAGAAUUCCACGUGUAGCAGUGAAAUGCGUAGAUAUCAGGAGGAAUACCGAUGGCGAAGGCAGGUCUCUGGGCUAUAACUGACGCUCGUGCACGAAAGCGUGGGGAGCAAA
rnacentral:rRNA from 1 species